GGUACGUGAUUUAGAAGAUGAGAAAGAUGAAAAAGCUCACAAAAAUGUCAACCCAGCUGUUGAACAAGAUCCUAUGAACCAAAGAGAAUUGCUAACCUUAGGGGGAACUACUCAUAUAGAAGACUCUUCUUAUCACCUUAAUGUACCAUGUACUUUUAAACUUCUUGUUGGAAGGAAUUGGAAACACCAUAGCUCACAUCUAAUUGUGCUAACUCAGCAUACUUUUCACUGAUAGAUUUUAAAAAAAUCAAGGAAUCCUUAUUGGAUUCAGACUAAAUUUUCUCAGUGCAAUAAAAAUUGAACCAAUUUAAAAGAUGCGAGGUGUAAAACUUGAUCCCAAAUGCUGUAGAAAGAACCAUUAUUGGGGUAGAUGGAUGCUCAGAAAUAAGCAAGAAGAUUAAGAAAUGGAGACUAGAAAUAAAGCCAGACUUGUGGUGCAAAGGUAUAACCAAGAAAAAGAAGAAACUGACUUUGAUAAAACUUUUGGCCAAUAGCAAGAUGGCAGCAGUAAGAAUGAUGAUUGAAUUUUCCUCUCAAAUAUAUUUUGUGAAAAUUUUGGCUUUUUUAGAGACACCACUUAAUUUUGAAAAGGAAUUAAGAAACCUUUAUAAGAUACUUUAAACGAUCCAAAGCAGAAAAAUCGUUUAAGUUUUAAAGAUUCUGAGUAAGUGGUUCUUAUUAACAUUUUAGGAAGGUUUUAGGCAUCCAAAACGUCCACUAAAUUGCGGUUAUCCGAGCUGUUUGAAAACAUCUUUUGACUAACUUUUUAAGAUUGAUUUAUUGAAAAAUGAUUUGACUUUUUUUAAAAAAAAAAAACCUUGUGUAAAAUAGAUUCAGGCAACUUAGUAGGGAUUUUAACUAAGUCUAAACAAAUUAAUAAGCAAAUAAACACAUAAAAGGGGAAAGGGGGAAGAAAGUAAAAGACAGACCAUUGGGCCAAAAUGAACAAAAUCUGUCACAAUCUAAUUGGACUUUCGACUCAUUUUUCACCUAUCCUAAUCUAUGUUUUUGAGCCUUUUUGGCCCAAAACUUGCUUCACCUAUAUUAAAUUUACAACUUUGGCGUCGAGGUCCAAAUGAAUGAAUAAUGAAAUAAAGAAAUAAGUAAAGACUAAAUAAAUAAACAAAUAAGUUAAAAAACGAGACUUUCAAGUCUCUUAGCCGCUUCAAAGAUGGGAUUUAGCCCAUUUUUCUUCUUCCAAUUGUUCGUAUCCACACGCCAUGAGAUCAUGUCUUUCAAAAGUCUUCUAAAAAGUGGGCCUCAUUGGCCCAUUAUAGAAUGCAAAGGGAAAGAAUUUGUUUGGACUCCAACAGAUUUCCAUGCAAAAUACGAAGGGAAAUAGAUAUAAAAAUAACACAUAGCCAACCAAGGAAAAGAAAAUUAAAUUAGUUAACACAUGAUCCAUCAAAGAGAAGAAAAACUAGAUGAAAACUAUUGAGGACUUAACUAAACAUAGUAUGAGUCUUAAAUAAUCAUAAGCCGAUGUAGAAAAAGUAAGACGUAUUCUCAUCGAUUCAGUUUACAAAUUCAAUCAAGACAGAAAAAUUUAAAAGUACAUGAUCAACCCAAGAAAGAAAGGAAAUAUAAAAGAGAAUCAAUACAUGUCAACUAUAUAAACGAGGUAACUAGAAUCCUAUCGAACAGUCAAAAAUCAAAAUCAGCGUAUCCCUCCUUAGUAUUUGGAAUCAUCUCAAAAUGAGGUUUGUACUACAGUAACACUAAUUCAUUUUUUUAACAAAUACACCAGAAUGAAAUACACAACAUCAAAUUCGUAAACAAUAAAAGGAACAAUAAAUUGACUUUAUAGGACAGGGUUCAAUGUAAAGCAAAUCCGGCUCAAUUCCAAGGAAAACAUAUCAAACCCACCAAUAUUUCAUUGAAAGGUAUACAAUUCAAAUCAACAAAUUUUACAAAGGUAUUUGCUGAAGUUAGAGCAAAAUUUGAAACCACAAUAAGACCAACUCAAAGAGCAAUUUGGGGAAGGGGUUUGAUCCAUAGAAAACAAACCAAUAAGACAAGGAGGGACUCCCACAAAUUUACCAACUAUGAAACUACAACUACGAUGAUCUAAAAAUAGAAGGAGCAAAGGAAGAAGGUGAAAAUACUAGGAAAAUACCAUGCCAAUUCGAACAAACACCAUCUAAACGAGCAACGGUUAAAUUAAUACGAACAAAUACUAAGCAGAAAGCCUAAAAAAGAAAAACAAAUUCUCAAAGCUCCCAUCUUAAACCGAAGAAACCCCAAAUGACUGAAAGUCGCGACGAUGAUAAGACAACCCUAAAAGAUCUACCAUUCGAAACAACAAACUUAACUAACAUGAAUCAUCAUGAUACAUCAAGUCUGGCCCCUCGGCCUAUAACAAUUUUCGGGAAAUGAAAACGAACGCAGCUAUUAUCCAAAACACGGUCUUGAAAAACUUCAAGAGUUUUAGACCCUAAAAUCACUGUCUAAAUGGAAGAAAAAUGACACAAACCAGGUUCGAGAGAGAAUCAGCAAGCUACAUCGAUUUUUCAACAUCUAAGAUAAUAAACGAGACCAAAUUCAAUUAUACUAAAAAUUUUAUAAUUUUGACACCAACAGCACUCAGCAAUGGGGACCCCUUCAUUUUUAUUUAAGCAAAAUACACACACUAUCACUGCAUAUUACGCACUCAACUUUACCUCACCAUAUACAGCCAUACGAUUGACCCACACACUCAACACGGCCGACUCACGUAUAUGUUCUCCUCUAUUUGUUUCCCCGAAUACCCAUGGACAAAUAGAACAGUAUACAUAACACUAAUCAGGAGCUGGGCAGAAUGCUCAUACAUACAUCAUCUCACCACAUACACAAAGCAACAUAUACAGACGCAGAAAAGAGAAAGAAAAAUGGGUAGCAGCCAGAUCAACACCAUAAUCAAACGCCGAAUUCUAUAACUAAACUACAAACUACUAACUAUGAUUACGAAACUACGAAGAUAGAAAGAAAGGGAUGAAGAAGAAUAACAAAACUAGAAAGACGACGUGUGUUUACCUUUUACGGGCAGCAAAACAACUAGUUUCGAUCCCCAUCGGAAAGACUUCUCCGCUACUCCGAUGAUUUCGAUAACUUUUUGAGAAUAUUUUUUACUAAAAAGGGGUUUGCUUGAUAGCUUGAUUUUUUAGCCUUCAAGACUUGUUAUUUUUGGCUCAUGGAUGAGCUAUUUAUAGCAAAACAAAAAUGGGGAUAGAUUUCACGUUCCAUCGAUAUGGGACAAAGAGUUUUAGGGGAAUUUUGAAAAAUACCAUUGAAAAAUAUGAGGACCAGCCCCCAGCUAGAAAGAAAGAUACCCUCUUUGUAUGAAUUAUUCCCAAUUCAAAUUUUUGAACCAACGGAUAAAACCUAAAAGAUGAGUACGGAGACACGUCAUGGGUUCUAGAACCUUCGAAAUACAACCCCAGUUUUGCCACUUUAGAGGCUGAGGUGGAUAUUGAGGAAGAUUCGGGUUGAAAUUGAAAUCGGGUUUCUAACGGGUAGGAUUUCGCUGUUGAGUUCUUUGGGCUGGUGUUGGUUUCGCGUCACUAAAAUAGCCAGUGAUGUUUCAGCUGUUGGCAUCCGGCGUUGACGGAGCUUUUGGUCAAUGGAAUUGAAGUCGUUGUUGGCUGAUAGGUGUUAACUGAAAGUUUUUGUACAUUUUUUUUUUUGUUUUGCUCCUAUUGUUUAUUGAUGAUGAAGGAGAAAAGGGGAUUUAGUGCUGGGCCGGGUCAGACUAUUUGGGCCGACUGAAAUUGUUAUUGUGUUGGGUUACUGUUGCUGAUAGUUGGUUUAAUUAGGAAACUGGCCGAAAUUGGUUUAAUUCGGUAUUGGUUAGAUUAUGUAAUUGGAAAUUUGGCCAAUUCAUUUAAGUUUUAGCCAAGUUGAAAAUCAAUUGGCCAAUUAAAUCGCAAUUAUGGCCAAUUUGAUUUCAAUUAUCGCCAAAUCUAAUAGAUUGGCUAAAUUAAAUCAAAAUUCGAAAUGAAUUAAUACCUCCUUUAAUUUUGAACUUCUUGAUUUAAUAAAAUCAAACACAUAUUUAUCCAAAUAAAUUAUGUUGAUAAUAAAUUAUAUUAAAAUCAAGAUUUUAAUUAUUAUAUCUAUUUUCAAAAAAUAAUCCUUAAUUAAAAUUUGAUAUUCCAUAGAAUAAAUAUUUAAGUAAUCAAAUUAUAUAAUCUCAUUUAAUUGAACACGAUAAUAUAUAAUCGCUACUUAAAAAUGACAAAAUUACGUACAAAUAUAUUUUAAAAAAUUUUUAUUCGGAUGAAAUAAAUAUUUCAAUUUUAUUAAAAAUCGAAGAAUCUCAGGAUUAAAUUUAGUCGUGAAGGACAAAAAUUAGGUGUCAACAUUAUAGAUUUCAAGCUAUUUCAGAUGGAUGUCAAAAGUGUCUUCUUGAAUGGUUAUCUGAUGAAAAAGGUCUAUGUAAAACAACCCCCCAGCUUUGAAAGUUUUGAAUUCUCUAAUCAUGUGUAUAAACUUGACAAAUCCCUUUAUGCGUAAACAAGCUCUCAGAGCUUGGUAUGAUAAAUUAUCUUCUUUUGUAGCAUAAAUAUAUAAGGGGGGGAAUUGACAAUACAUUUUUUAUGAGGAAAGAAGGAGUUAAGCUCCUUAUUGUACAAAUAUAUGUGAAUGAGAUAAUUUUUUUAAGCUACUGAUGAUGUGUUGGGUAAUGAGUUUGCCUCCUUGAUGAGCGGUGAAUUUGAAAUAAGUACGAUCAAGGAACUAACUUUCUUUCUAGGAUUGUAGAUAAAUCAAACUAAAGUUGAAUAAUUUAUACACCAACAAAAGUAUGUCAAAGAAUUGUUGAAGAAAUUUGAGACGGAUGAGGACAAGACAAAUAAUAUUCUUAUUGUUACUACCACAAAGCUUAAUAAAGAUGAAUCAAGAGUAUCUAUUAUUGAGAAUAAAUAUAGAGUAAUGAUAGGCUCAUAGCUCUACCUUACUGCAAGCUGACCUGACAUUAUAUACAGUGUGGGGUUAUGUGCUAGAUUUCAAUCCUCUCCUAAGAAAUCUCAGUUAAAGGUUCAAGUCUCAGUUCUCUGGUAUCAUGUUGACGAUUUAUUUCAUAUUAUUAGUUAUGUUGAAAUUGAUUAUGCCAGAUACUUGGUGGAUAGAAAAAGCACCUUUGAAAUGGAAUACUUUUUAGGACCUUAUCCUAUCUCGUGGGUAAAAAGAAAUAAAAUUUAGUAGCAUUCUCAAUUUUUAAGGCUGAAAAUAUGAAUUUUGCUUCUUGUUGUUCUCAACUACUUUGGAAAAAAUAGCAACUCAGUGACUAUGGUAUUAAUUUAGGAUAUACUCAAAUUCUAUUUGACAAUACAAGCGCAGUCAAUAUAGCGAAGAAUACAGUCUAGCAAAAAAAACUAAAUAUAUGAUAUGAGGCAUCACUUUCAUAGAGAUAGUAUAGAAAAGAGGUUGAUUGAAAUGGUGCCUUGUGAAACUGAUGAACAAAUUUUUGAAAUCGUUACCAAAGCUAUGGAAAGAGAAUAUUUUGAAAAGAAUAGGUUAGCCCUUGGGCUGAUUAAUCAACUAUAGUAAGAAAAGAAUCAAACUUCUCUCAAUGAUUGACUAGGAAAAUUGUAAGGUAUAAGAUGAAAUAUGAUAAACAAUAGAUAUUGUAAUUAACUUUGUUUUUGUUCCCUCGAAGGAUAAAACUCACAGCUAAAGGGAUUAAUAAUGGAUCUAAUUAUAAUAUCUUAUUUCUAAUAUUUACAAUCUCACAUAAAGCAGGAAAGUCUUACAAAGACUUGGUCACUAGGUCCGAUACGCACAUCCUUUACAAAGCUUUCAAAUCUUAGUACAAGUCUUUAAAAUAUUAUUAUUUUGUCAUGAGGACCUAAUCCUCAGCAAUGGAUCACUUAUUCUAAAUAAGACAAAAUUCUAAAUGGAAAAAUCAAAUGAGAUGCCAUUGAAUCAUUUAUCCCUCCUUCCAAAAUAGACAACCAUCACCUUAACCAUCUCAACACUUUAGAAACACGCUCUCAAAACUGUCCAUCUUCACAAAACCCUUAACCAAAAUCUCUGGCUUUUCUCUCCCAAAAGCUUAAAGAAUCCUCAACAAAUAUGAAACCUUCAUCAUUAGCCUCAAAACCUACUACUUCUCCAUUCCAUUCCUUCAUGGAUUACUCCUAUGAUGAGGAUUUUUCCCCAUUCACAGGUACACAAUCUCAAGAGAAAUAUCGAUUAUGUUCUUCAUCAUACUCUCUUUCAUCUACUCCUAUUAGAUCACAAUCUCAUAUUCCAUCUCUAAACUUCCCAUCUCUAUAUCAUUAAAAAAUAUGAUUCUCUAAACUAUUCCUGGAGUUCUAAUGAGUAAUCAUUGUUGCUUUCUUCACUAAGAUUCCUAAAACUUCUUAUCUUGAUGAAGAAGAAGUUGACUGUGAUGUAGAUAUUAUCCUUUCCCUAAAAUACAUAAAAGGUAUGUCAUCUUUCAUUCCUGGGUACAAUAAGAGAGUCCCUCAUGAACCUAAAUAAAAAUCCAAGUUCAAACCUUCUCCUCUUUACCUCCUAUAAUGGCAAACACCAAAAAAAAGGGUUGAUGAAGUGAGAGAGAUUGUUGAAGCAAGUAAGAGAUACAAAGUUUCCAAGGUGAAGAAAAAUAUUAGGGAAGAUGAAGAUUUCAUUGGCCUUAAAUAAGAAGAAGAAGAAGAAAAAGAAAAAGAAGAAGAAGAAGAAGAAGAAGAAGAAGAAGAAGAAGAAGAAGAAGAAGAAGAAGAAGAGGGGGAGGAAAGAUGUUCCCUCUCAGAAAUGAAAAGUCAGCAAAAACUAUAAAAAGUUCUUAAGAUUGAGACCAGUUAGCUACUAUGCUACUCAAACCUAUUUGAGAGGAAAAAUUUUUAAUAAUGAGGUACUUGAAAAAAAAAUUAUUCAACAAUUACCUAAUAGUCUUAGAUUUCAAGGUUUGGGGUAAUUGUAUUGUAGACACGUAAAAUUUAUUGGGUCAAAUUCAUAUAAAAUUUGGAUUUGAUUCAUAUUUUAUUGGCCCUAAAAUUAUUUUGGGCUAUAAAAAAUGAUAAGUCCAUUUUAUUCCUCAUCAAGGACUUCAAAGUCCAUUACCCUUGGAAGCCCAAACUCAUCAAGUGACGUGGCAUCCCAGUCAAAUCAAAGACCAAUGAGACGCCGCCACAUGUACAAAUGAUGUGAAAAUCUCAUUCAAAUCCAAGAACCAGUCAAAAGUCACGAAGUGUCAAAGUGACAUGUUUCGGCCAAUCACAAGCAACCAGGCCUACCCCCUACAACUAAAAAUAGGGGGUAACAUGACAUGCUAAAAGGGGGAUUCCGUAAGUAUUGGAUGAAGCUUCUGCAUUGACUACACAGCUCUUCAACGAAUCGACUAACGGAGUUCUGCCCAGAGGUCAACUCGACAAGGCGAAGUGCUGUCAAACAAUUCCUGGAGAUCCAAACAAAUUUUUGGGAGGCUUAAAUCAUCCGAAAGUUUGAGAAUUACACUACAAAGGCCCUCAAAUUAUGGAAAAUCUUAGGAGAGAAGAAUCGAGAGCAUAACAGAAUUGUACCCACAAAAUUACUUUAAAUAAAAUUAUUCUUUUUGUUUAUUUUUAUUUUUGCUUGCAGUUAAUUUUCAGCACAACGAAAAUUUAUUGCGAUCAAAUUUUGGCACGCCCAGUGGGACAAGUUCUGCUCUCAAUCUCUUCUUCCUGCAAAUUAAAUACAACUACUUCUAUGGACUUCAAAAUACGAAAGAUGUCUCAUGCAAGAACUCUGCUACUGCCACAUCUGAUGAGGUCAGCCUUGUUGGUCCCCUCACUCGACGCAAAUUUAAGACCAGUGGUUGGGAAGAAUCUGAAAACUUUACUUUUUUAGAGAAGGCAAAAAAAAAAAGCAAAUCUCAUAUAACGGCUGAAGCUGCAGCUCCUGGGGGAAAUUUGACGUCCUUGCUAUGUGAUGAAUUCUCUCAGAGUGGCGUCAAUUUUAGUGAAUCUAAAGAUUCGACUAAUUUACCAGCCUCAACAAAGUUCAACGCCUUGAUGGCCGACGCAACUUAUAUGGAUGAGAAGUUCGCAAUAAUGGAACAAAAUAUUAAAGUUUUGAAGAAAUCUGUCGAGGAUAAAGAUCUUCAAAUCACUCAACUGAUGGACAAGUUAGAGUCCUUCGCCCCUGGAGAAUCGAUCCACGACCCUGCUUAUCCACCCGACUUUACUCCGCAAAAUAAGGAUGUCGAUAACUCACCUAGCAAGACUAAAUCUCAAAAAUAGAAGCAAUCUACUUCGGUUGCUACUCUAACAGUUCAACAACUGGAAGAUAUGAUUACAAAUACCAUCAAGGCACAAUAUGGCGGUCUAUCACAAAGUUUUGUAGGAUACUCAAAGUCGUAUUCUAAGCGAAUUGAGGGCUUACUGAUUCCAAUUGGAUAUCAACCUCCAAAGUUUCAAUAAUUUGAUGGAAAGGGAAAUCCAAGGCAACACAUCGCUCAUUUCAUUAAAACUUAUAGCAGUGCUGGUACACAUGGUGAUCUUCUUGUCAAGCAAUUUGUUCGCACUUUGAAAGGCAAUGCUUUUGAUUAGUACACGGACUUGGAGUCUGAAUCAAUUAAUUAUUGGGAGCAACUAGAAAGUCAGUUCCUAAAUUAUUUCUACAACACCCAUCGUCUGGUCAGCAUGAUAGAGUUGACAAACAUAAGACAAAGUAAAGAUGAGCCUGUCAAGGACUACAUAAAUCAUUGGCGAACAUUGAGCAUUGAUUGCAAGGAUCAAUUUUCUGGAACUUUCGCGGUUGAAGUUUGCAUUCAAGGGAUACAUUGGGGCCUUGUGUAUAUCCUCCAAGGAAUUAAGCCUCGAACUUUUGAAGAAUUAGCUACGCGCGCUCAUGACAUGGAGUUAAGUACUGUAAGUCAUAGAAUGGUGUCGCCUAUUUUUUAUCCUAAAAAAGAAGUCACAAAAUUCAACGACUCAGAGAAUCAAAUUGGGGAAUCUAUGGUGAAGACUGUGAGUUCUAUGAAGGCGUCCACAAGAUAAAAACUGAAAGAGAAAGCUCCAAAGUGACAAAUGCAAGAAGUGAAAAAUCGACUAACCUUGAAAGAGUUACAAGCAAGGGUAUAUCCUUUUUCCAAUUCUGAUGUUCCUGGAAUUCUAGACGAGUUGCUAGCCAAAGAAGUCAUUGAACUCCUAAGUCAAAGCGAUCUGAAGAAUCAAACAAAGUUCAUGAGCCUAAGUACUGCAAAUUUCACCUCAUUGUUGGUCAUCACACCAUAAAAUGAUUCAUCCUAAAGGAAAAGAUCAUGACAUUAAUGCAAAAGGGAAAGAUCAUCAUCGAUGAUAGCGAUACAGUUGAUGCAAACCAUGUUAGCACGGAAUUGGAACAUAAAAAAGGUUCAAUUUCAAAAGUUCUACAACCCAUGCGCUCUACGGCAUCAUCAAAAGGUGAGAGAAUCAUCAUGCUACAAUUUGGAGGCUUUGACCCAAUUGGAGUUCCAGCCCUGAAGAAAGCAACAAGUAAAUUCAUGCAAAACGACUUCUCCAAUAGUAAGAAGGGUGAUACUUGGAUAUUGAUCGCUCGCAAAGAAAAAAAUGUCAAAAGGCUUCUAAACUCCAGCUUUCAAAAGAUGACCCAAGAUCAAAUGUAUAUCUGCUUCAACCAAUGGGGGCAGUAAAUACCAAAUGAAAGUGCAACAAUACUUCAUUAUAAAGGGUUGGGAGGAAAGUUACAUUACAAGAAUUCUUUCCCAAGCUGCUUCUUAACGCACAAGCAUAAACUGCAUGAUGCUCCUCAACGCAUGAGCCAAAAAUGUAAGUCAAGAUUCUCCUCGAUGCACGAGCCUAAAUUGUAAGUCAAUAUAUCCUCGAUGCAUGAGCCUAAACUGCAAGUCAAGUUGCUCCUCGAUGCAAGAGCCUAAACUGCAAGUCAAGAUGCUCCGAUGCAUAAGCCUAAAUUGCAAGUCAAAAUGCUUCUUGAUACACGAGCCUAAACUGUAAGUCAAGUCACUCCUCGACGCACCAGCCUAAACUGAAAAUCAAACUACUCAUUGAUGCACGAUCAUAAAUUGCAAGUUAAAUCACUCCUAGCCUGCAUGAGUCUAAACUGUGAACGGCUCUACCACAAAAAUAGUAAAAUAGUAAAAUAGCAAAAAAAAGAAAAGUAUGAAGCUUGAAUGCAUAUUUGGAGUGCUUUGAAUAUGUCAUUUUUAAAGCAAAAGGAAUCUUCAUUAUCUCCAAGCAAUGAAGUCUUAUCGACAAGUAAAAAAAACUUGUGGUACUUUGAAUAUUGUUCUAGUCCGGCCUUCACCAAAUUACAGAAGUGAUGCAUCCCAAAACUUGAAGUAGAAGAAGAAAUUCAUGAAGUAUCCAAAUCUGACGAGAAGUAGAGUAUCACAAGAUUUAGGCUGCAACUUUGAAAAAGAACCUGAAAAAAUAUAGAAGUUCAAUGAUGGUAGUUUACAUGUGAAAUGUAGCUCUGCAAAUCUACUUUCCAAUGCAAAAAACGGCACUUGAUUUCGAUACUUUCACGUCAAGAUAUGGAAUUUAUCGUGACGCUGCGUAAAGCUGAAAUAACUAGCAAACCAAGAUUAGAAGGCCCUCUUUGGAGCAAUAUAUGGGAUGAUUAGGAUGCAAUCUGAUUGUGGUUUCCAUGUGAGACGUAAAUUUGUGAAUCUACUUUCCAAUGCAAAAAUGGCACCUGAUUUCGAUACUUCCACAUCAAGAUAUGGAAUUUCUCGUGACGCUGCGCAAAGUUGAAAUAACUAGCAAACCAAGAUUAGAAAGCUGUCUUUGGAGCAAUAUCUGGGACGAUUAGGAUGCAAUCUGAUUGUGAUUUCUGCUUAAGACGUAGAUCUACGAGUCUAGUUUCCAACGCAAAAAACGGAGCCUGAUUUUGAUGUUCCUAAGUCAGGAUAUAAGAGUUUCGUAAGACUGCACAAAACAAGAAAAAAGUGACGAAACAGAACUAUAAGUCUGAUUUUGAGACGAUCCUGGGUAGAUCUGGCUAUAAGAUGAGCGUGUUUUUCGGGUAGAACGUAGCCUUGCGAUUCUACUUUCCAACACUACAAGCCGUUUCUGAUUCAGACACCUCCACGAUGCGUUAUGAAGCUUCUUCCACAGACGCGCCAAAGUACCGAAAGCUUAAUUAUGAAAACAAAAAAGAGCAAAAAGAGGAGAAGAACGGGAGUUGAAUUUCUUCUCAGGCUUAAUUACAAUGAUUUAAGGGGCUGUUGAUGUCCUUUUAUAGACUCUGAAAGGCCCCAAUUUGAUUUCAAAAAGGAUUCUGCUGAACAAAGUUGUCUUCAACAAGAAUUGGGAUGUUUAAGUGUCCAAAAUAAGUCAAAUUCCUAAUCCUUUUUGAAGUGGGAUAACAUCAUUAAUCAAUCCUAUUAAAACUAGAUAUAGGACUAAUAGCCGAAUCCUACAUGAUUUGGAUAUAUUUAGUCUUAAACAGAAUUUACACUGGAUUCACGUUAUUCUACCCGGAUAAUCAUGACUUUAAGGAGUUGGAUGUUGACAAAAUGCUCAAGUCUUAGAAAAAAAAUAGGGCUUCACAAAUACUUCAAAUCUCGUCUCUAACAGGUUUAACAAACCAAACACAUUGACGAGCCUUGAAGUAGGGGGCAUCUGUACAUACGUAAAAUUUAUUGGGUCAAAUUCAUAUAAAAUUUGGAUUUGAUUCAUACUUUAUUGGGCCUAAAAUUAGUUUGGGCUAUAAAAAAUGAUAAGUCCAUUUUAUUCCUCAUCAAGGACUUCAAAGUCCAUUACACUUGGAAGCCCAAACUCAUUAAGUGACGUGGCAUCCCAGUCAAAUCCAAGAUCAAUGAGACGCCGCCACAUGUACAAAUGAUGUGAAAAUCUCAUUCAAAUCCAAGAACCAGUCAAAAGUCGCCAAGUGUCAAAGUGACAUGUUUCCGCCAAUCACAAGCAACCAGGCCUACCCCCUACAACUAUAAAUAGAGGGUAACAUGACAUGGUAAAAGAGGGAUUCCGUAAGCAUUGGAGGAAGCUUCUGCAUUGACUACACAGCUCUUCAACAAAUCGACUAACAAAGUUCUGCCCGGAGGUCAACUCGACAAGAUGAAGUGUUGUCAAACAAUUCCUGGAGAUCCAAAUAAAUUUCUGGGAGGCUCAAAUCAUCCAGAAGUUAAAGAAUUACGCUACAAAGGCCCUCGAAUUACGAAAAAUCUUAGGAGAGAAGAAUCGAGAGAAAAACAAAAUUGUACUCACAAAAUUGCUUUAAAUAAAAUUAUUCUUUUUGUUUAUUUUUAUUUUUGCUUGCAGUUAAUUUUCAGCACAACGAAAAUUUGUUGCGAACAUGUAUAAACUGAAAAAGCCUUAAAUGUUUUAAAAAGAUAUGGUAGAGUUUUAUGCUAAUCUGAAAAAGUAGAAUUGUCUUUGACCCUAUCAAAUUAAAAAAAAAUCCUUAAUAUGCCCUCUGAGGGGUUAGAGUAGUAUGUCUGGAAUACAUAUAAGGGGUCUUUAUUGACAAGAAAGUUUACUUAGGAGAAAGAAAAGAAGAUUCGUAGAACAGUGUAUGAGGGAGAAAUAUCUCCAGGUCAUAAGCUCUUAUUUAAUGUUGUGAAUAAAGAAAUAUGAGGUUAGUUUUAAGGAUCUAAGAAUCAUGAAGGCCAUGGAUAUGGAUGAGAAAGUUAACUUUCCUACUCUUAUGAUCAAACAUAUGAAGCGAGUCAUGUUUCCUAGGAUAGGGCCUAACGGUCUAUGCAUGGAUUUCUACUCACUGUUUUUAGGAGCUUUGGUGUGCCUCCGAAGAAGGGGGUAGCAACUAUAAGAAGUGACAAAAUUACAAACAUAACCUUAGAUAACUGUAACAGCCUACCUGAAAAACUCAUUGAAAACAAAAGCUCAAACUCAGAUAUUGGAGGUUCUUGAAGCUGCAAAUAAGGAGAAUCUCAAGUUGAGAGAAGAGAUUAUUUAGUUGAAGGCAACAUUGGCAGCUUUCCAAGCUCAAGUCCACACCCUGGGAGACGACAUAUUAUUGCCGCAGAACAAACAUCUUGAGAACAUACAAUCAGUCAUGGAACUCCUUCCAAAAGUUAAGCCACCUUCCAUAUCCACUUCCCAAGAUCCUGAUUAUCCAGUGUUUCUAAUAACUACUUUGUUCUCAUGGCAGAUAAUUUUUAUUAUUUUUACCUAAUGUUUGGAUGAAUUUUUAGGCCACCGGUUGACUUAAAUAUGUGCAAACUUUGCUUAGUAGGCUUAUAUUUGUUUGUAAUUGGUAAAUGCUUGAAAUAGAUAAUCUCCUUAGAUUUUGAAUGCGGUGUUUCUUUAGCAUGUGGCUUUGUUGCCUAAAUGGCAUGAGUUGUUAAUAUUACGUCGUAUAUUUAUCAUACAUAAUCUUAAUUUUAUUUUUCAAUUAUGUUAGGAAAAAAAAGGGGGGGGAUAAAGUCGUAGUUCUUAAGGUGCUAGAAGUGCUUAUGUAGUUAUGUGGUAUCCUGUAGUCUUAUGAUGAGCAGGUGGAUAUUUGUCAUGUGCUCUAAUAAUAGGAUUUGUAUUAUUGUCAUACUGUUGUAUUAAAAAUGAUAGGGAUCAAGUACACAAAUAGAUAUAGGUUUGCAAUUAUCAAAAAGAGAAAAAUAAAAGAUUCCUUGUCAUACAAGUUUUGAUGGUAGGCAAAUCUUAUUUUUGGUAUGGUUCUAUUUAUGGAGUAUUCCUAUGAAUGGUAUUAAUUGUAUCUGUAUUAGGCAAGAAAAGUUGUGUCCUUUGACUAACGAGGAAAGACUUUAGAGUCAGGUUUCCAAGAAAAGACAUCUUGAUGUAUCUAUAAAAAAAGUAGGACGAGAUAGUUUUGGACCACCUAUUGCAUACACACAAAAAGCAUUAUUCUCAAGUAGUAGGAGAUCACAACAAGUAAAUAUAAAGUCAUCCAUUGAAGGCAAAUCAUAGUUGAGUUCUUGAUUAUAGUUGAAGGUCAUUUUGUUAUUACUAAGUAUUAUUAGAGUCUAUCUAUUUAGUUAUUGCUAUUUUAUUAUGAUAUCUACUGUGAUUUAAUUGGUGAGUCUUGUAAUACAAAGUAGGUUUAGAUUCUUGGAAGAGUUCUUGUUAGGAACAGUUAUAACUAACUGUUUAUGUCUAGGUAUUAGAAUUAGUUCUUUGUUUAUUUUGUUGUGAUAAUUAAAAAUCAAUUUUAGUAGAUUUGAAUUUGUGGUGGUUACUCCUUGAGAAUGGAGGAUUUUUCAUGUAACUUGAUUGUGAAUUUACAUACUGAUCAAGUAAUAUCUUUAAGAACCAGGUUCCUAAGAAAAGCAAUUGGCACUAGCUUUCUUCACUUCUGUACUUCAAAGAGCAGCAAGACAUGAGGUUAAUGCAUUAUCUAGGAUGAGUCAUACAUGCACCUAUGCCCCAUUGUAUUAUAUAUCAAUUUUUUAUGUUAUUGUUUAUACUUAUUAUUUGUAUUAAUGAUUUCAAUUCAAUUACUUUACUUGUAUAUUUUCAUUACAUGUCUUAUCAGAGGCGAAUCCAAGAUUCAAAAGCUCCGGAUGCCACCUUAUUUUGAACAAUAACGUAUACUCCGUACGAUAUUUUAGGAUAGUGGAAUUAAUAUUCAAAGAGUAAACUAUAAUUAUAUAUAUCUAACAAGUGUUAGUAUUACAUGAAGGUUUGCCUAGUUGGUAUUGUCAAGUUCUUUGUAAAGAAGAGGUCAUGAGUUCUAUUCUUAUAGCUACACUAUGUUCUUUUCUUUAAGAGAAAACAGACAAGUGCUAAAAAUCAUUCUAAAAAUACAAUGCAGAGCAGGUUUUGAACCCGCAUUGUUGGAGUUAACCCCAACAAUUUCGACCACUUACACCACUAGUCCCUGAUACAUAUAUACAUAAAUAUACAGAGUUUCAUCCGAGAACUGCGUAUUCCAUGCCACCCCAUACCUUCUACAUAAAUCCGCCCCUGCGUCUUAUAUUAUUUAUACCUUAUGUAUUACUAGUUUCUAAAAACUUAUCCCAUAAUAAGCUAAGAUGACAAGCCAAUAAUAUCUUUAGAGUCGCAUUUGUUUUGAGUGUGUAUAGGAGGAGCAAGAGGUCAAGCAAUAGUUAAUUAGUAACUCAAUUUUCAUCAAUCAUUUCAGUUGAUAUGAGCCUCUAUUGUAUUAUGGUGGUUACUUUCUCUUAAUAAACUUAAUACUUGAUUAUUAUUGAUCGAUUUGUGUUUCACAUUUUAUAUCCAGAUAUUAAUAGCUUUAUGACUUUUGAGUUUUGAAAUUAUAUGAAAAGACUAAUGUUAUACUACAUCGAUUUCACACUUUUAUCUAUAUUGAUACAAUUUGAGUUUGUAUUUUGCUAUUGAGAAUUUCAAAUAAAGAAUAAGAGAAAGACACAAGAUUUAACGUCGUUCGAAUUCAAAUGAUCCUACAUCCACCAGAGAACAACUAUCUUUAUAUAAUUAACAAAGAAUGGAGAGAGGUUCUAAAUAUACCUAAACAAAUUGCUCUCUCAACUCUAUACUCCAACAAUGUAUUAAACUAAUAAAUUUUUUGGAUAGUUUCAACAAUGAAGAAUGGUCAUCCUUUUAAAGACCAAACUUGGACUCCAAACACAACAUAAGAAAAGAAAAAAUAUAUAUAUAAAAUUUGUCCUCCACAAAUUUUGCUUGCAGUCAAGUUUACUUUUUAGUCAAGUAAUUUGGCACAUGAAAUUUUCUUCCACGUGGAUUAAACCCCACAAAAGUCAAACUAACUCUUUUAGUAUCCAUCUUGAUUUAAAGUUCGAGCAUAUAUAUAUGACCAACUCUGACCAAAACUUCUAGGCUAACGGAAUAUCUCCAUUGUAAGAAACGAGAAUAAUUAAACCAUUGAACAUACUAACUCUACCUAGAAGUUAUUCUUCCAGAGUUGCACCAAUUGAUGCACACUCCCACUAAGUCCUUAUAUUGUGUAAACUUAGUGAGUAGGACUAUCUUUGUCAACAUGUUUGUAGUGUUUUCAUCUGUGAUAACAUUCUUAACCUUGAUAGUUUUCCAUUCACUGACAUCUCUAAUGAAAUAAAAUUUGACAGUAAUGUGUUUGGUGUGCUAAUGAAUUCUUUGAUUUUUAAUCAAAUAAAUAACACUUUGACCAUUAUAUCGUAGAGUUGAUUUUAGAUGAAUCAAACUCAAUUUUGCCACUAAACCUUUCAACCAGAUAGAUUCUUUCACUCCCUUUGUUGCAAUCAUAUAUUCUGACCCUGUUGUAGACAAAGUGAUAAUUUACUAUAAAGUCAAUUUUCAACUAACGGCACUGUCAAUGAGAGUAAAAAUGUAACCAAUUAUGGACCGUCUUCUAUCGAGAUCCCCUACAUAGUUAGAAUUCACAUAACUGAGAACUAAAAUGCCUUCACUUUUUUAAAAGGUUAGGCAAACAUAUGAAGCUCCUUUGAGAUAUCUCAAUAUCUACUUGACAAUUUUUUAAUGCCUCUUUCCUAUGUUAGGCAUGUACCUAAUUACCACAUUUAUAGAUAAGCAAUAUUUAGACAUGUGCAUAUCAUAACAUAUAUAAUGUUACCAACUGCGCUAGCAUAAGGAACCUUUGAUAUAUGUUCCACCUCAUCCUCAAACUGAGGUAUUUAUAACUCUGAAAGUUUAAAAUAAGAACCAAAUAGUAUACUUACAGGCUUGCUCAUAUGCAUAUUGAAUCUACUUUUUGAUGUACCUCUUCGAAGAAAGAUGCACAACACCAUCUUCUCUUGAAAUCUACAUUCUAAGAAUUUUCCAUGAAGCUCCUACAUCCUUCAUUUCAAACUCCUUAUUCUAGAGUUUCUUCAAAGCAUUUCUCAUAGAUAUCUUUUUAUGAUACACAGAGCUAUCAAAUACACUUCUUGAGAAUCCAUAUGUAGUCGUGAAUGAAUCAAACCUCCUAUAUUAGUGUCUUCGGGAUUGCUUCAAACCAUAGAAAGACUUUUUUGAGUUGGCACACAUUAUCUUCUUUUCCCUCAACCAGGAAACCUCCAGGCUAAUUUAUAUAGAUUUUCAUGUAAGAGAGCAGUUUUGAUAUCCAACUAUUGAAGCUCCAAGUCAAAUUGGAAACUCAAUGCUAGUAGCAUAAAAAUUGAGUUAUAUGUUACGACUAGAGAGAAGAUCUCAUUAUAAUCAUUUUUCUCCUUCUGACUAAAAUCCUUUGUAACCAAUCUCGCCUAGAACCUUGCAUCUUCUACUUUUGAAAUUCCCUCUUUCUUUCUGUAGAUUCAUUUUCAACCAACUGUCCUCUUCUCCUUUGUCCUUUUAACUAAGGCUCAUGUCUAAUUUCUAUUAAGAGAAUUCAUCUCUUCCGUUAUGGCGAACUGUCAUUAUGCAGCAUCCUUGUAUGAAGUUUCUUCAACAUAUGAGGAGGGUUCAAGAUUCUUUAUAACUUAUCGUUUCUCAGCAAGUCAGAGGGCCCCCGGUCAAUUUUCAAUCCAAAAAUUCAUCGGGCCCUGAACCCACCCCAGAACCGUGGGUUAUAUAGCCUAUCAAUUUGGCCCAAAAAUAUCUCGUUCGCGCCAUUUCACCCGUUUGAUUGCCCAGAUGUCCUCCGCCAACCCAAUCAAACUACGCUCACUUACUCCUUAGCCAAUCGGGGGGUCGUUGGUUGAUUUUUGGCCUAAAAAUCCAUCGAUCCCCAGGCCCACUCCCAGAACCAUGGGCUAUAGCCCACUGAUUUAGCCUAAAAAUGACCCAUUCACAUCAUUUUGACCAUUUGACUGCUAUCCUCUAUGGAUAUGAAUGUAUAUGCAAUCAUAUUUGCUGCUCUAUAAGGCAUUUUGAUUUUCGUAUAUGCCUUUUGUCCCUUACCUUUGCAAUUGUGUAUGGUUCAUUGACAGCAAGUUCUUCAAGAUCAAUAAUUUUUUACUCAUCAACUUAAGUUACUUAAUUCUUCUCCUUAAUAAGCUCCACCUACUUCUUGUUCUCGAUUUUUGAUAAUUCCACAAAAACUUAUGAGGAUCAAGUACAAAAAUUCAUCAAAGGUAACAUCUCUACUAACUACAAGUUUAAGUAAAGACAAACACCAAAGUUUAUACCCUUUUACUCUAUCCACAAACCCUACAAAUAUGUCUUUCCUAACCUUCGUUAAGCAUUCCUUCAUUAACUAUGAUAAUAAGUUGGACAUCCAAAUACUCACAAGUAUGAAUAGUUAGAGAAUUCGCCAAAUCAUACCUCAUUUGAAAUCUAAAAUUCAAUCGCUGACGUUAGAGAUCGAUUAACAAUUUAAGAAGCAGUUUAAACUACUUCAGCCUGAAACACGUUGGAUAUUUUGGUUUGUAGGAGUACACAACAAGCCUUUCUAAGAAGAAUUUUGUUCAUUAUCUCAGCAAUUCCAUUUUGUUUUGUUGUGUUCCAAAUCGUCUUAUGUCUUGAGAUCUCAUGAAUUUUGGAAAAAUCAUUUAACUUUUCAUUGCAAAACUCCAAGCCAUUGUCUGUGCGAAGAUACUUGAUUUUUUGCUCAUUUGAUUCUCAGCCAAUAUCUUUCACUCCUUAAAUACUUAAAAAGCAUCACUUUCUGACUUUAAAAAACACACUCAAAUCUUUUAUGAAAAAUUAUUAAUGAAUGUGAGAAGAUACCUCUUUCCAUCCUUUGAUGAAACUUUAGAGGGACUCCAUAAAUAUGAAUGGAUAUAGUCUAUCACCCCUCCCGUCUUAUUCUUGACAGUGCUAAAGCUCACCUUUUUCUACUUUCAUAGGAUGUAGUAAUCAUAAAAUUCAAGUGUGUUGAUCUUCUCACCAUUCAAAAAGUUUUGGUUGUUCAGCAUCUCCAAUCCUAGUGUGUUCAUGUAACCCAAUAUCAUGUGCCAUAAUCUUGCCUUGUUAUUAUUGAUAACUGUACUAUAAAUAUAUUAAUAUAGCUAAUAAUGGCAUUUCCUGUCAGUGUGUACAGAUCAUCCUCCAGCUUGGACUUGAGCAUAACUAAAGAACCUUUAACCACCUUCAUAGUUCCUUUUUUGAUCAUGUACUUACAACCUUGUUUAUUCAGAGUAUUCAGGAAGAUCAAAUUUUUCUUCAGAUUAGAAAUAUGAUGGACUUCUAUAAUAGUCCUCACGAUUUUAUCGUGGCAGUGAACCUAAACUGAGCCAAUGCCAACUAUUUCACAAAUUCCAUUGUUGUCUAUUACUAUGAUUCUUCCAAUUUUCUCGUAGUUACUGAACCAGUCUCUUCAAAAUGUCAUAUGUAGAGUACAAUCAUAGUCUAAGUACAUAUUCAUCAUAUGAAUCGUGUACUUAUUCAAUAAUGAAUGCAACUGCCUUUUCUUUAGACUAUGACAUCGGGAAAUCUCAUUGGGAAAUCUCCUUCAAAGUACCCUUUUUUGUAACAGCCUCAACACUUUGCAUUUUUUUUGUUCAAAAUAAAAUUCAAUUUGUGUUUUGAUUUGCUCCUUUCUUAUUGGCUAGUACGACCUCUCACAAAGAGUCCACUAGCUUCAUCAUCUUUGUCUCCUUAAAAAUGCCUCCGCACAUUAAAAAAGUUUAGUGUUUGCCACACUUUCUCAAGAGUUAUAGGCUCCUUUCUAUACAUCAUUAAAUUCUCAAUGUCACGAUAGUUUGAAGUCAAUGAAAAUAGCAAAGCACAUGUUAAUAUCUCUUGGUUCUUUUUAAUUUCGACGAUCAGUAAGUCCAUGACAAAUUUAUUAAACACAUUAGAUGGUCUUGCAAUGCAGUACCUGACUCCAUCUUAAAUGUGUCAAGAUAUUGUUGUAACAAUAUCCUUGUUGUCAUCGAUCAAUCUUGAUAAAGCCCUUGCAGCUUGUCUCAUAACUAUUUGGUUGUCUCAUCGGUAUCUGUACUCACUUUAUAAAGCACGUUACAUGCAAGGGACAGAUGGAUAACACUCAAUCCAUUGCCUUCAUUCUUCUCCUUGUCAAAAUUUGAUGUACCAUCGGAGUACUUUCCUCAAUAGCAUGGAUUUAACCUUUCCUCUACAGUAACACCGUCAUCUAGUUUUUCUAGAUAUUGAAGUUGUUGUGCCCACUAAAUCUAUCAAUUUCAAAUUUUAUAAAACUCAUCACUACUUUUUCUUUAUCUUCUACUAUGAAUAGUAUUUGAAAAUAUAGAAAAUCAAAGUAAUUCUUUUCUGAUGUGGAAGUUCAAGCUAUGUUGCAACCAUAGAGCAUACUCAGAUAGAAUCCAGCUCUUAUAUCAAUUAUUAGCAAAAACGUGAAAUAAAGAACAAGAGAAAGACACAUGGUUUAACGUGGUUCAAAUCCGAAUGAUCCUACAUCCACCCGAGAAUAACUGUCUUUAAAUUAUUAAUGAAGAAAAUGAGAGAUCUCAAAUACACCUAAGAGAAUUGCUCUCUCAACUCUCUACUCUUACAAUGUAUUUAACUAUGAAUUUUGGAUGAUUUCAACAAUGAAAAAAAUCACCCUUUUAUAGAUGACCAAACUUGGGCUCCAAGCAUAAUAUAAGAAAAGGUUUUCCCAAGUUUUGUUUUAUUCGCAAAUCGACAACUGACUAAUGAAGGUAUGGAGUUGUGUUUCUCUUUUGGAGGUUCAUUAAUGGUAACAACAGCUUAGUCAAGCUUAGUGAAGAAGAUUAACAUUUUGACAAGUAGACUUGAAGUUCUCAAUUGUUCUUGAGUUUUCAGUCUCUUCCUCUUCUUGUUUUUUUUCUCGAUUAGGAUAGCUUAGGAAUGUUUUUGCUUUCCUAUUUUACUUUGUCUAUCUUUUGUUUGGGCCUGGGUUAUUUGGACUCGGGUCAUACACUUGGUUUUACUUUUUAAAAAAAAUAGGUUUAGCUUGAUUUGGAAUUUUUCUAAAAAAUAAAUAAAUAAAUACAAAAUUUGUUCUUCACAAAUUUUUGCUUGCUCUCCAAAUUUACUUCGUAAUAAAAUAAUUUUGCACAAAAAAAAUUCUUCCACAUAAAUUAGUGUAACGCCCUGAAAUCUGACUUCCCGGGAUGACACACGAUGCUCCGAACUAUAAGUAGUCCUGAGCUAACCCUGGCUGCUUUCUACUAAGUCUAGAUCUCAAAAUAGGGGAAAUAUGAAUAUGAAAACAUAAUAAAUGCGGAAAUUUUAUCUAAAACAUAUUAAUCUCACAAGUCUUGGUAAAACAAUAUUGAAAAAUCUGAAUACUGAGUCCAAAGUCUAAAACUGAAUCUAGUAGUCCAACAAGCCUCUACUGACUGAGUCCAGAGAGUCAUUGGGACAGGCCCCAACUGACUCAAACUAUCUGAAAUGAAUAAUGAAACAUCUACUAAUAAACCGAAAAUCUGAAUUGCUAAGUCCUAGAACUAUGAGGACUCACCAACUGUAGGGAUGAAGAUGAGAUGCUCGAAAAUCACUCACGCUACUGAGACUGAGCACCUGAACCUACAUUAUAAGACAAUGUAGCACAUAGACGUAUAUGUGGAUCAGUACUUUAAUGAUGUACUGAGCAUAUGGAGGUGAAUGCAAUAAGUAAACAAUGUCAUCACAAUUUAUAAAAUUAUGCAUGCUAAAAGUAAAUGACUCACAUAGGCUUAAGUAAUCUAAAAUUGAAGAUCGUAAAUCAUUAAUAGUAAAGCACAUAAUAUAAAUCUUGUGCGCCAUUACACUUAGUUCUGAUAUUUGUGUUCUAUUCUUAUUCUCAAAUCAUAUAGGUUAAGUGAAAUCUGUAAGUCUGUAUAGAAAAUACUUUAUCUUUUAUCUGAAGGUUUAUCUGUAGGAGAGGUUCUUCUAACCGACAUAAACCAUGCGAGCAUUCAUGAAGUCCAACGUUCUUGUCCCCCUAAGGAGGAAUCCUCACGUUGGUGAGAGGAGUCAUACUCUUGCCAGGGAGUAUAACCUAUCUAAGUGAUCACAUCUCUAUCAUCCAUGUAGAAGUGAGAAUAAUCUAAAUCCUACGUUGGCAUGUAGUUUUGGGGUAUGAAACCGUAUUAAUGUACCCAUCUCAGUGCUAAAUACUACUCCCAUUAAAUCUGUGAACUCAUUCUGAAGAAAAUCCACUUUAAAAUAGUCUAAUGGUCGGUAAUAAAAACCAAUUGUAUAUCUGUAAAAUUAAAUCGAUAAUUUAAAUUUGUAAAGUGUAUUUCAUAUUUAUUCUGAGACCAAAAGGUCAAAUCUUUAUCAAUAAUCUAAAAAUAAUCUAGUCAUAAAGUGCUCAUAGUACAACAAAUCUUGAAAUAGCGAUCUUAAAUUUGAGCUUAAUGACCCAUGUAUCAAUCUCAUGUUAAAACAUCAAAAUGUUCAUGCUUGAUAAUAUAAACAUUGAUAAUUUAACUCAAAAUCUGGAAAUUUCUGCAAUAUGCAUGAAAAUAUGAACAUAAUAAUGUAAUUCAACUUCUAAAUCAAUGAAAAUCUCAUAAUCUUAGGAAUAGCAAUAUUGGGUAUAAACCCUAACUUCAAUUUCAUGAGAAAUCACAUAAAAUUAAAUAACUUUUGUAAUUAAAACAAGUUUUGGGCACAAUAAUGAAAGAAGUAUCCUUGUUCAUAACCCCACGCACCUCAAUUGAUGAACUAGAUUCUAAAACUAGAAUCUUAGAUCUCUAUUGUUGCUUUGGAGAUGAAUUCUUAGAGUUCUUGAAUUGGGGAUUCUUAAUCUUGAAUUUCUUUGGAGAAGUAAUGGAGGAAUUUGGAUUCGUUUGUUGAACUAGGAUUUUUCUUGAGAGAGAUUUGAUGAAAAAUGUAUGUAAAGUGCUUUGAAGGAGUUUAAUUCAUUAUUUAAGACGGAUUAAGAUUUGGGAUAUUUACCAAAAUGCCCCUCUUAAACUCAUAAAUAGAACUGGAAAAAUGACCAAAAUCCCGAUUUUUGGCCUUGGCACAAUGCACCACUAUCGCGCCAAGCCACUGGAAAAUGCCAAAUAGGAAUAUGUAUGGUGGCGCGACGCGGUCGUAUCGCGUUGCCACCUCGGAUGGGACCUGGAAACUUGGCGCGAUGCGCCAAUAUCGCGGACCCUCACUGGAAUUGGACAAUUGAGAAUUUGGCCCUCUCCGCGACGCGCCAAUAUCACGAAAUGCCACUGAAAAUUGACAAACGAUAUUUAAACCUUCUCCGGGAUGCGCUAAUAACCUAAAUAACGGUGUCUUACGACUGGAACUUAAAAUAGUCAUAACUUCUUACUCGGUGAACGAAUUUAUGCGAAUCUUAUAUCGUUGGAAAGCUUAUUCAAUUUCCCACACAAUGGGAUGUCUAAAUAUGAAAAAUUCUAUGCAAAAAAUAUAUUAUCUAUCUUGGAAUCUUUUCUUUAACCUUCUAGGGAUGAAUUCAAGCUAGGAAAAGUACGGGGUGUUACAAUAUCUCUCUCUUGGGAACAUUCGUCCUCGAAUAUUGUUAAUUAGACUAGGAAUAUUGAAGAAUCUGAGGAUACAUAAUAAUCAUUCACAACUGGAAUAAAUUGCUAAACUGAAUCUAAAUCAUUCUGAGCUUCUUAGAAAUCUAUGAGUGCAUGAAUUUACAUGAGGACAACGAUAUAGUUGAAUAUAUAAUUAGAAAAGAAUGGGAUUAAGAAAGAGUAUUACCUUCAGCUAGUUUGCGGAGAAGGGGUGAGGGUACUUGGCUCACAUAUCUGCUUCUACUUCCCAAGUAGUGCCCUCAACAGACUGAUUCUGCCGAAGAACUUUGACCAAGGGAACUUCUUUGUUCCUUAGUCUACGGAUCUGAUGAUCUAAAAUCUCAACUGGAAUCUCUUCAUAUGACAGGCUGUUCUGGAUAUCUGAUCUUUCUAAGGAAACUACAACAGUAGAGUCACCGAUGCACUUCUUAAGCAUAGAGACGUGGAUCACGGGAUGAACGGCUAAAAAUCUGCGGGAAAAUCAAGCUCAUAAGCUACUUUCCCAACACGACUCAAUAUUCUGUAAGGGCCAACAUAUCGGGGACUACGUUUCCCCUUUUUACCAAAUCUAUUCACCCUUUUCAUAGGUGAAAGCUUCAAAUACACUAAAUCGCUAACCUCAAACUCGAGGUACCUUCUUCUUAUAUUCACAUAUGACUUCUGAUGACUCUAGGUUAUUUUCAAUCUUUCUCUAAUCAACUUAACUUUGUCCAUAGCUUCAAAUACUGCAUCGGGCCCAAGCAAAGCGACUUUACCCAUUUCAAACCAACCUAUGGGUGAUCUGCAUCUUCGCCCAUAUAGAGCCUCAAACGGGGCCAUUUGAAUGUUAGAAUAGUAACUGUUAUUAUAAGCAAACUCAAUCAAUGGCAAAUGCCCAUCCCAACUACAUUUGAAAUCAAGAGCACAUGCCCUUAGCAUAUCUUCUAGAGUUUGGAUGGUCCUCUCUGCUUGACCAUCUGUCUGAGGGUGGAAAGCUGAACUAAGAUGAACUUGGGUACCAAGACCCUUCUGAAAAGCUCUCCAAAACUGGGAAGUAAACUGAGUACCCCUGUCUGAGAUGAUAGACAAAGGAACUUUAUAUAAUCUGACUAACUCUCGGAUAUACAACUUAGCAUAAUCCUCAGUUGUAUAAGACGUGUGAACUGGCAAGAAAUGAGCUGACUUAAUCAAUCUGUCUACAAUAACCCAAACCAAGUCAUGAUGACGGCGCGAAUAGGGUAAACCAGUCACAAAAUUCAUAUUACCUCUUCCCAUUUCCAAGUGGGGAUACCAAACUCUUGCAACGUACAACCAGGCCUUUGAUGCUCUACCUUAACCUGUUGACAAGUUACACACUUUGCUACAAACUUUGCUAUAUCUUUCUUGAUACCACUCCACCAAUAGAUAAGCCACAAAUCGCGGUAUAUCUUGGUAACACCUGGAUUAAUAGAAUAACGCAAACCAUGCGCUUCCGCCAUAAUUAUUUGUCUUAACUCAUCAAUGCAGGGCACAUACAAUCUACUUUGGUAUCUUAACACAUCAUCUCCCCCAUGGGAGAAAACCUCCACCUUUUGAUCUUUAAUCGACUCAUUCAAUUUGACCAAACUAGAAUCCAUAUCUUGUUUCUCCUUCACUUCCGAAACUAGGAAAGAUUCGAAUCUACUCUGAACCCAAACAUUCCCUUCAGCUGAAUCAACCAACUUAACACCCAAUCUAGCUAAUCGAUGAACUUCACGAGCUAACUCUUUCUUGUCGCUCUCCACAUGAGUAACACUUCCCAUUGACAAUCAACUAAGGGUGUAUGCCACUACAUUGGCCUUUCCCGGAUGAUACAACACAUUUAUGUCAUAAUCCUUCAACAACUCCAACCACCUUCUCUGACGGAGAUUCAACUCCCUCUAAGUAAACACAUACUACAAGCUUUUGGGGUCUAUGAACACAUCAACAUGCAUACCAUACAGAUAAUGUCUCCAAAUUUUCAAAUCAAGUACCACAACAGCUAAUUCUAGAUCAUGGGUUGGGUAAUUCUUCUCUUGAGGCUUAAGCUGUCUAGAGGCAUAGGCUAUGACCUUAGCUCUUUGUAUCAACAUAAAAUCCAAACCAACUCUAGAGGCAUCAGAAUACACCACAAAAUCGCUUGUACCAUCAGGUAAUGCUAGAACUGGGGCUGAAGUGAGUCGAGUCUUCAACUCCUGAAAACUCUUCUCGCAGGAAUCUGACCACUAGAACUUAACUUUCUUUUGGGUCAAUCUAGAUAUGGGAGAUUCAAUAGACGAUAAACCCUCAACAAAACAUCUGUAAUAACUAUCUAAACCCAAGAAACUCCUGAUGUCUGACGGAGAGAUAGGUCUAGGCCAAUUUCUUAAGGCUUCUCUCUUUUGGGGAUCAACUCUAAUACCAUCAACAGAGACAAUAUGACCAAGAAAGGCUACUGAUCUUAGCCAAAAUUCACACUUGCUAAAUUUGGCAAACAAUUGAUGAUCUCUAAAAGUUUGCAAGACAAUUCUAAGAUGAUCUACAUGGUCAUCCUCGCUACGGGAGUACACAAAGAUAUCAUCUAUGAAUACUAUGAUAAGCAUGUCUAGAUACUGUUUGAACACUCGAUUCAUGAGGUCCAUGAAUGCUCUUGGAGCAUUGGUUAGCCCAAAAAACAUGACUAAGAACUCAAAAUGACCAUAACGGGUUCUAAAGGUUGUCUUUGGGAUAUCACAUUCCCUUACUUUAAGCUGAUGAUAGCUGGAUCUAAGGUCUAUAUUUGAGAAAUAACUUACACCUUGGAGUUGGUCAAAUAAGUCAUCAAUUCUACGAAGAGGAUAUUUGUUCUUGACUGAGGAUCUUAUUCAGCUGACGAUAGUCAAUGCACAUUCACAAAGAACCAUCUUUCUUUCGCACGAAUAGGGUAGGAGCGCCCCAUAAAGAAAUACUAAGCCUUAUAAAACCUUUAUCUAAAAGAUCUUUUAGUUACUCUUUCAACUCCUUAAGCUCUACGGGAGCCAUACAGUAAGGAGGGAUAGAAAUAGGUUGAGUAUCUAGGAGAAGGUCAAUUCCAAACUCUAUCUCUCUAUCGGGAGGUACCCCUGGGAGAUCUUCUGGAAAAACAUCAGGAAACUCAUUAACUACACUGACUGACUGAAUUGUUGGAGUCUCAGACUUUGUGUCUUUGACUCGGACUAGGCGGUAAAUACAAUAUUUAUAUAUCAACUUUCUGGCUUUAAGGUAAGAUAUGAAAUGACUUUUGGGAGACACUGAAUGACCACUCAAAGACUAGCUCAUCUAGGAACUAAAACUUUACCACACAGUUGCGACAAUCUAUAAAACAUGAUAGGAAUAGAGUCAAUCCAUACCAAGAAUAAGAUCAAAAUCAACCAUAUCUAACUCUAUCAACUAACGGGGUCACAUAAGAGAAACUCGACCCAGGAUCUAACAACACAUAAAUAUCAAGAUGAAAGACACAAAGCAUACCAGUAACAAUAUCUGAUGAAUCUUCCUGCUCCUGGUGAGAUAGUAAAGCAUAGAACCAAUUUUGGUGUUGACCACCACCGGUACUGGAUGAUGCGCCAUGAGGAGGAGCUGGGUGACUUAGAGGAGCUGGUGCACUAUUAGCCUGAGUCUGAGGACGAACAUCUCUGUUUCCCUAUCUAGCAUGCGGGCACUCUUUGAUUUCGUGACCCAUUUGUCCACAACUAUAAUAACCUUUACGGCUCCACAAAUAUUGACCUCUAUGAUUCUUACCACACUUAGCACAUUGGAUAUGAUUGGGCUUCCCACUCACACUAUUCUGAGACCUGGAUAUAGAAGACUCACCCCACUUCUCCUACCUAUUUCUGGUGUCGGAGCACUGGCUGAGGAAGAUGCGGGCAUAGAUGAACGAUUCUGAAACUGCAAACGAUUUCCUCCUCUAGACCUAUUUUGACCAUAGUCAAACUGCCCUAUUCUAGUCCUCUUAUUUAAUCUCUCGCUUUCCUUCAUCUUUUUCGGCUCAAUCUGCUGAGUAUGCACCAUCAACCUAGGAAGAUCUAUAUCUCCAAUGAGCAUAGUAAUCCUACACUCCUUAACUACCAACCCAGACACACCGGUCACAAACUUACUCAUGCUUGACCUAGGGUCAGCCAUCUACUCAAGGGUAUACUUAGACAACUAGAUGAACUUGAGGCAAUACUCUUUCACUGUCAUUGAGGCUUGCCUUAGGUUCAUGAACUCUUCUAUCUUUGCUUUUCUCAUCUCUCAUGGGAAAACUUAUCUAAGAACGCAUCCUGAAAAAUUUGCCAAGUCAUGGGGGUUGCAUUCUCCCCUCUACUUUUCUUUCACAUCACUAGCUAAUCAUAAGAAACAUCUUUCAGCCUAUAGGAUGCCAAUUCUACACUCGUCUCUUCAGAAACAUGCAUAAUUCGGGCAAUCUUCUUUACCUCAUCUAAAUACAAUUGUAGGUCCUUACUUAUCUUCGCCCCAAAGAACUCCGGUGAGUUCAUUCUCAUAAAAUCUUGAAUUCUAGCUGCGGCUAAGUCCCCAUCUUGCUGAAGUGGGGCUACAGCCUGAUGAUUGCCCUGAACAUUAGUUGUGACAGCUUAGGCUAGCGCCUGAAAGGCAGCCCAAAACUCUGCAUGUGACACAUUCUCAUUCAAAGGAUAUGCGGACUGAGGUGGCUGGUUAUUAUUUUUGCGUGAGUUAGCUCGAUGAGGAGACAGUUUUUGUCACGUGAAAGCAUGAGUUAGAGGCAGAUAGAGACACUGAAUGCACGAUAGAUCAUGAAAAAAGAGAUAACUUCCUAAAACGCUCCAUAGCCUCUUACUCAUAAAUGUGGCGCGCUUAACACCGAUGAUCAAGACUCAACGUAACGCAGCUUGUCAGACUCCCUAGGACUCUCUAAAUCUUAGUCUCUAAUACCAAGUUUGUAACACCCCAAAAUCUGAGUUCCCAGGAUGCCACAUGGAGCUCCGAACUACAAGUAGUCCUCAGCUAACCCUGCCUGCUUUCUACUAAGUCUGGAUCUCAAAAUAGGGAAAAUAUAAAUAUGAAAACAUAAUAAAUGUGAAAAUCUUAUCUGAAACAUACUAAUCUCACAAGUCUUGGUAAAAUAAUAUAAUAUUGAAAAAUCUGAAUACUAAAUCCAAAGUCUAAAACUGAAUCUAGUAGUCCGACAAGCCUCUACUGACUGAGUCUAGAGAGUCACUGGGACAGGCCCCAACUGACUCAAACUGUCUGAAAUUAAUAAUGAAAAAUCUACUAAUAAAUCAAAAAUCUGAAUUGCUAAGUCCUAGAACUAUGAGGACUCACCAACUGUAGGGAUGAAGAUGAGAUGCUCGAAAAUCACUCACGCUACUGAGACUGAGCACCUGAACCUACAUUAUAAGACAAUAUAGCACAUAGACGUAUAUGUGGAUCAGUACUUUAAUGAUGUACUGAGCAUAUGGAGGUGAAUGCAAUAAGUAAACAAUGUCAUCACAAUUUAUAAAAUUAUGCAUGCUAAAAGUAAAUGACUCACAUAGGCUUAAGUAAUCUAAAAUUGAAGAUCAUAAAUCAUUAAUAGUAAAGCACAUAAUAUAAAUCUUGUGCGCCAUUACACUUAGUUCUGAUAUUUGUGUUCUAUUCUUAUUCUCAAAUCAUAUAGGUUAAGUGAAAUCUGUAAGUCUGUAUAGAAAAUACUUUAUCUUUUAUUUGAAGGUUUAUCUAUAGGGGAGGUUCUUCUAACCGACAUAAAUCAUGCGAGCAUUCAUGGAGUCCAACGUUCUUGUCCCUCUAAGGAGGAAUCCUCACGUUGGGGAGAGGAGUCAUACUCUUGACAGGGAGUAUAACUUAUCUAAGUGAUCACAUAUCUGUCAUCCACGUAGAAGAGAAAAUAAUCUAAAUCCUACGUUGGCACGUAGUUCUGGGGUAUGAAACCGUAGUAACGUACCCAUCUCGGUGCUAAAUACUACUCCCAUUAAAUCUGUAUGCUCAUUCUGAAGAAAAUUCACUUUAAAAUAGUCUAAUGGUUGGUAAUGAAAACCAACUUUAUAUCUGUAAAACUAAAUCUGUAAUCUGAAUUUGUAAAGUGGAUUUCAUAUCUAUUCUGAGACCAAAAGGUUAAAUCUUUAUUAAUAAUCUGGAAAAAAUCUAGUCAUAAGGUGCUCAUAGCACAACAACUCUUGAAAUAACAAUCUUAAAUUAGGGUUUAAUGACCCAUGUAUCAAUCUCAUGUUAAAACAUCAAAAUGUUCAUGCUUGAUAAUAUAAACAUUGACAAUUCAACUCAAAAUCUAGAAAUUUCUGCAAUAUGCAUGAAAAUAUGAACAUAAUCAUAUAAUUCAACUUCUAAAUCAAUGAAAGUCUCAGAAUCUUAUGAAUAGCAAUAUUGGGUAUAAACCCUAACUUCAAUGUCAUGGGAAAUCACAUAAAAUCAAAUAAUUUUUGUAAUUAAAAACAAGUUUUGGGCACAAGGAUGAAAGAAGUAUCAUUGUUCAUAACCCACAUACCUCAAUUGAUGAACUAGAUGUUAAAACUUGAAUCUUGGAUCUCUAUUGUUGCUUUGGAGAUGAAUUCUUAGAGUUCUUGAAUUGGGGAUUCUUCAGCUUAAAUUUUCUUGGGGAAUUAAUGUAGGAAUUUGGAUUCCUUGGGGAGAAAGUUUGUUGAACUAGGAUUUUGCUUGAGAGGGAUUUGAUUAAAAGUGGAUGUAAAGUGCUUUGAAAGGGUUUAAUUUAUUGUUUAAGACGGAUUAGGGGCUAGGAGAUUUACCAAAAUGUCCCUCUUUAACUCAUAAACGAAACUUUAAAAAGGACCAAAAUCCCGACUUUUGGCCUUGGCGCGACGCGUCACUAUCGCGCCAAGCCACUGGAAAAUGCCAACUGGGAAUAUGCAUGGUGGUACGACGCGGUGGUAUCGCGUUGCCACCUCGGAUGGGACCUGGAAACUUGGUUCGACGCGCCAAUAUCGCAGACCCUCACUGGAAUUGUACAAUUGGGGAUUUGGCCCUCUCCGCGAUGCGCCAAUAUCGCGGAGGGCCACUGGAAAUUGACAAACGUCAUUUAAACCUUCUCCGCGAUGCGCUAAUAACCUAAAUGAUGGUGUCCUACGAUUGAAACUUAAAAUAGCCAUAACUUCUUCCUCGGUUAUCGGAUUUAGGUGAAUCUUAUAUCGUUGGAAAGUUUAUUCAAUUUCCCACACAAUGAGAAGUCUAAAUCUAAAAAAUUCUAUGUGAAAAAUAUAUUAUCUAUAUUGAAAGCUUUUCUUUAACCUUCUAGGGAUGAAUUCAAGUUAGAAAAAGUACAGGGUGUUAUAAUUAGAUCCCACAAAAAACACACCAACUCUUUCGUAUUCUCUUCCAACUUGUAAUUAUUUAUUCCAUAUCUAAAUUUAGAAGUUUCACCAUAGUAGAUUAUUGUGACAAAUGAGGAAAAACAAAAACUUCUUGUCCAUCGGACAUGCUGUUAAUUAUAGCCAAUCGGCCUCUACCCGAUUCCACUCCUCCAUGACUGCUCAUAGUUGUUUGUACCACAUGAAAUAUAAGGCAUGACUGCUCGAUAUAGACAACAUCCAAAUCACUACUAGCCGCAUCACUUCAUCAGUGACAUAAUCAAACGCCAAUCCCAAUAACAACUCUUUUUAAAAUAUAUUGAUAGCAAAUGAAUGGAUUGGAUCAUAUUUGAACUAAUUCAACUGAGUUGAGUUACAACACAUAUUCAUACUAUAUUAACGGAGAAAACAAAUUGGAUAAAAUAUGAACCAAAUAAAAAUUAAUCUUGAUUCAUUUACCUCCAAAAAUCGAAAGUAAUUUUUGCUGAAAUUUUACUUAGCAGCAAAGGUACCAUUGCUAUUUGCUAACCGUCACACCAAAAAACUGCUAUACAAACUAGCUAACAUAAGACAUACUAACAAAUAAAGAAAUGACAAAGAAGCAAGUAUUGGGUUGUUUUUGUUGGGUUUGAAAUCGAGAGGAUGUCAUGCGAAAGCUAAUUAUUGUAAAUUAUGAGAAGUUAAAUCAGAUAACAAUGGAAACAAUACUAAAAACAUAAUAUUAUUAUAUGAUUUGGCCAAUUGACCUACAUAUAAAACUUAGUAUUAAAAAUAAUAUUAAAAAAGCAUAAAAUUAAUGAGAGAAGAUCUCUCCCUAAACGAAACUCUUAAAAGACUACAUUGUGAAUGAUAUUCAGAUAUGGUAUGAGAAGAGGGGUGUUCUAUAUAUAGAUGUCUAAAAUCAUUCCUCUAAGAAAGAGAUUUGUCAAAUAUGAAAAAGUUUUAUAUUUUCCUUUCAGAAAAAAAUAAAAAUAAUUAUGGUUACUUUUAUUUUCUUUCCAAGAAAAAUAAAACUUAAUUUUGGUAAGAAAAUCAGGACAAAAACUCUAACAAAUCUUCUCUUUGGCUUGAUUUUCUGGCAAAAUAUUAUUGAUCCUCCUUUUUCACACAAUCUUCAUAUAUCAAUGAUCUUCAUGUAUCACUGUUGCUUACCAUGAUUAAAAGUUGAUAUGGGUUAAAAAUUGAAGCCCUAUGCGUUGAAAACAAAAGCAUGAGUUAAUAUUAUUGGAGCCAUGUGUUAUAAAUAAACAGGGUUGAAAGUGGAGUCUUGUGGAUUGAAAGUGAGCACUGGUUAAGAGUUGAGCUCAUGCGUUUAAAGUAAAUGCAUGAGUUGAAAGGAGCCCACGUGUUAAACAAGUAUGGGUUGAAAAUUGGAGCCUAUAAACAUGGAUUGAAAAUUGAUAUUGAUUUUUAAAAUGGUUUAGCAGCAGGAUCGUUGAAAAUUUGUUUAACACUUUUUUCUGCACAUGUAGUUUUUUUGGACAUAUAUCUUUAUUAUCAUCAAAUUGGUUGCAAAUUGAUUUUGAACCGCCUUGAACUUGUCUUCAGCCUCGUUUUACCAAACCACUGAAUCUUUGAACCGUAGGCUCUGAUACCACUUGUUGGGUUCGAAAUCGAGAGGGCGUCAUGCGGAAGCUAAUUGUUACAAACCAUGAGAAGAUAAAUCAGACAACAACGAAAACAAUACUAAAAAUAUAAUAUUAUUAUAUGAUUUGACCAAUUAACCUACAUAUAAAAUCUAGUAUUAAAAAUAAUAUUAAAAAGCUAUAAAACUAAUGAGAGAGAAAAUCUCCCCUAAACGAAACUCUUAAAAGACUAUAUUGUGGAUGUUAUUUUGGUUAUGGUAUGAGUAAAGGGGUGUUCUAUUUAUAGAUGUCCAAAAUCAUUCCUCUGAGAAAGAGGUUUGCCAAAUAUGAAAAAGUUUUAUAUUUUUCUUUCAGGAAAAGUAAAAGUAAUUAUAGUUAUUUUUAUUUUAUUUUCAAGAAAAAUAAAACUUAAUUUUAGUAAGAAAAUCAGGGCAAAAAUUCUAACAGUUUUAACUUCAACGUAGUUUUAACUUCAACGUAGUUUCUCAACUAAUUAACCUUUUUUGCGUUUAGAUCGUAAAAGAAACUAUUUCCUCCGUCCUAUUUUAUCCGUCCCAAAUUGGCUAAGUAGAUGUCUCAUUUUACUUGUCACAUUUUACUUAUCAAGAUAAGACAAACUUUUCUUUCCAUGUUUUACCAUUUGCAUUAAUUACAUUUUUUUAAAAUUAAAAUAUAAAGAUUAUUUAAUAUGGAUACUUUGAUAAAUUACCUAUGUUUUUAAUUAUUUUUUGUAAUUAUUGUGCCAUCUCAAUUUAAGACGAGUAAAAUGAGACGUAUGGAGUAUUUUUUUUACUAGUUUAACAAAAAGUCCACAGGAGUGUGGUAUCACAGUCUAAGAGAUUGGUGUAGUUAUGGCAAAAGUCUACUGGAAGCUUUUUGACUCUAAUUCAACGGAUAUUAAAUGAUAUUUGAAAAAACAUAAUUUUUUUUAUAUAAAGAAUUGUACUGUUUAAACAUGAAAACACAUUAAAAUCAAUAUCGUGAGUAAGACUUGAAGAAAUUUUAAAAUUAUAAGUUUUACAUUUCCGUAAUGGCUAACCCAAUGGUCAAAUGUGCAACUUCCUUUUAAUUUUGUGUUAACAAGUCCAAGUCUGAAGCACCUUUUAAACGAUUUUUAGACUAGCAUCUUAAGUAGUAGCACUUCUGAGCAAAAACCCUUUUUGCACUCCAGAAGUUACAAAAAGGAUCAAGGAACAUAACACACUUUUUUUUGCCCAAUUUUUUCAAGAACUUUCUCAAAAUUUCUCUGCCUUCUUUUGCCCAAUUUUUCCUGGAACUUUCUCAAAAAUUCUCUGCCGUCAGCUAUUUGAAAAGACCAUAGGAGAAGGAUUCAUUUUCUACGGCUAUAAAAGAAAGUAACGAAAAGGGCAUGACUAAAUAAAAUCAAAAGGGAUCAAAAAGAAGCUUCUUGAAGAUAGCCAUAGUCCCCACAUGGCAUCACAUGACUUAGCACGUGUACAUAUGGAGUCACAAUUGGUAAUUAAACAGCUCUUUGGUCUUAGAGCUCUUCCCAUUAUGAUCAGCUAAUCUCUAAUCUAAAAUCUAAGUUGCCCACACGGUCACACCAACAACUAACUCUUAUCAAUUACACGUCCGUUGAUUUCGUCCACCGCAAUGUAACAGCCACGAUGUCUCUUCAUUAUCACCAUUACUUCCUUGAUCGGACGGUUCUGAUUUCAUGUCAACUCCAGGUUGCUGUAGGCGUAAAUCCUGAUAAUGCUCCGCCAUUGCUACCUCACCUUCUCUAAUACGCUUCAUGCCUAUCGAGAACCCGAAUAAUCUCGCUUCCGCCUCCGGUUCAACCCGGUUCUCCUCAUCGCAUACGGUUCGACCCGAUUCAUCAACGGCCCGCUCCGUCCGUAAGAGAUCAAGUGGCUUUAACGCCGGCGAAAUACUCUCCGCCGAUUGAUUAUUACCGCUGGUAGAACAGUCUGCGUUGUAAUUCGACAUCAUAUUAUAUAUAUUGCCGCAUAGCUUCUUCAUUUGGUUUAACUCUUUGUUGAGCUGUAAAUUCUCAAUCCUUAACCGUUCGUUUUGUCCUAAAAGCUCUGCUGUGCUCCCUGCAGAUGAAUUCGACGUCACUACUUGCUCUUCACAUGAAUCCGUGGUAGAUACAGCCAGCGGUGGUUGAGCAGGCGGAGGUGGAGGCGGAGCAACUACAGUCACCACCGCUGUUGUAGCUGCGCAAGGAGUAGCAACAAUCGGCGUCGCGACCUUCCGACGCUGGAUAUCAAUUAAGAGAUUUUUUUCACCUCUCCGGAAGGAGUCGUUUCCGAAUUCCCAUCGAUCAGGUACGACUUUCCGAAAUCCCUGCAAAAAUGGAAGAAAAAGUUAGUAAUUCUUACCAUUCACCAAAAACAACUGAUUUUCAAUUAUAGAGGAACUUACAUAGGUGUUGAGCUGCCUAACGAAGCUAGAGAAAUUGUUAUGCUUAAAAUACUUAGGAAGCAAAUCUCUAGCAAACUCGGUAGGAUUCCAGACGAUGAAAGUAGAUCCGUCUUCGUUCCAAGAGAUGACGUCAUCAAUGGAUUGAUCCUCGAUGAGCUGGUAAGUCUUUGUUAAAAACGGUGUCGGUACAGACCUCGGCAUUUCACCAGCCGCCGGCGCCUCUCCUCUAUUCCGGUCUGGCUGUGGAGUCAUAUUUUCUUACCUGAAACACUAAUUAAUUAACCCUGUAUUGAAUUCAACUCAGAAACCAUUUAAUUUCCCUGCAAAUUAAGCAACCAAAAAAAAUAAUACUUUACACCAAAACUAAAACUACGUACUUGAGUGAAGAUAGAUGAUGCUACUCUGGCAGAUCUGGGGCCAAAACUGGAGGGAGGAAGAAAGAGGUCCGUCGGAAUUAUUGGUAAUUCUAGAAUUUUCCGGCGACACAUAGAGGGGGGGAAGGUGGGUUGGGCAAUGGGAGAGGGGGGACUAUAAUUGGAAAAUUCAGAAAGGAAGAAAUGGAGAUAAAGGUGAAGUAUUUUAUUAAAAAAGAAACAAAGAGAAGCUACGUAACGGACAGCUUUACCAAAGUAGAAUUAAAAAUGGAAAAAAAACUGGUAGCCAUACUUAUUGCCAUUCGAGAAGUUUCAGUUGAUUCUUAUACGUGGCACCUGAUGAGAGGCUAUAGGAUAUAUCCUACGUACGCACAGUGAAUAUGGAGUUGUUGAUGUAUUUGAGUUAAAUCUAAAUUUUUCGUAAUACAAACAGUAAUACAAUAUGGAGUCGUUGUUCUUUUGUUUAUUACAAAAAAAACAUUAUUUUAAUUUAUUUUGAUUAUUACAGAAGUUAUUAUGAGUGAAUCAAUAUAUAAAGGAAAAUUUUAAUUCAUUCUAUAUGACAUGUCUGAAAAAAGAAAUUUUUAAUUCAUUCUAUGUGGCAUGUCUAGAAAGUCUUCAUUAUCAUUUAUUUUUUUGUGAUUUUUUUAAUUAUUUUUUUAUUUUAAAAAAUUAAAAAUUCACUUAAUAUUAUACAUAACAUUAAAGAAAGUCAUAUUAAAUAACUUUCAUCAUCAAUAUUAUUAAAUUUUUCUUAUUUAUGUGUUAUGAAAAAAAAUUAAAAAUCACUCCUUAAAACUCUCUUAAUCAUGUUAAAUAUGUAAGAAAAAAUUAAAAAUUAUUUGUUAAAGCUCAAAAAUUAAUAAUGUAUGCAUAUAUAUAUAUAUAUAUAUAUACACACACACACUCUCUAAUAAGAGGAAAUGGGCAGAGAAGCAUGCAGGUCUUCGUCAACAUGCCUGUUUCUCCCUGCCUACUUCAUCAGUUGCUCACUCCUUGAUUUUACUAUAUAUAUAUAUACACACACUCUCUAAUAAGAGGAAAUGGGCAGAGAAGCAUGCAGGUCUUCGUCAACAUGCCUGUUUCUCCCUGCCUACUUCAUCAGUUGCUCACUCCUUGAUUUUACUAUAUCAUCUUUAAUUAAUAGCUUAAGUCAUCGACAUACACUUAAAUUUGUCUUUAAAUUCACUUAAACCCCUCAACUAAGGGUUGUACCUAUUGAACACUUAUACUGUAUAAAAAAUUAUUCCUAUUAGGCACAUUUUGUUAAUUAGCAACAAAUAUGAAGUGUGUAUAACACUUGUCGUGUCAACUAAUUAAAAUGUGACACGUGUUAAUGGGCCCCACAAUAAUUAUCAAAAAAAAAAUUCAAUUAAAUUAAAAAGGCAAAAUGACCUUCUGAAUCCUUGUACUAUAUCGGUUUUGUAAGUUGAUUACUUCUACUUAUAUAUUUGUCAUCUGAACCCACUAAAAAGCAACAUUUUAAAUUCUUUUUUGAUGAGUGUAACACAUUCUUCCCACGUGAGCUACCACGUCAGCUGCCACUUCUGCUCAUCUGUCAUGUCAUCUGUCACGUCAUUUAAAAAAAAAAAGUAUUACAUUAAACUCCAAGUUAUUUUUAAAAUGCUAAAUAACAAAUUAAAUAUUAAAAUUAAUUUAAUUAGAUAAGAAAAAUUUAUAAUUGUAGAAAAAUUUGAAUAAUCAUGUUUUUAUUUUAGCUCACAUUUUAAUUUUAAUAUUAUUUUUAUUAAAAAUAUUUUUAAAGUAUUGUUAAAUUUUUAAAAAAUAUUUUAAAAUUUUUAAAAGUAUUUUAAAAUUAAAAAACAUGGAGGGAAAAAAAGAACUCUUUUUUAAUUAUUUUUUAAUUUUAAUAUUAUUUUUAUUAAAAAUAUUUUUAAAGUAUUGUUAAAUUUUUAAAAAAUAUUUUAAAAUUUUUAAAAGUAUUUUAAAAUUAAAAAACAUGGAGGGAAAAAAAGAACUCUUUUUUAAUUAUUUUUUAAUUUUAAUAUUAUUUUUAUUAAAAAUAUUUUUAAAGUAUUGUUAAAUUUUUAAAAAAUAUUUUAAAAUUUUUAAAAGUAUUUUAAAAUUAAAAAACAUGGAGGGAAAAAAAGAACUCUUUUUUAAUUAUUUUUUAAUUUUAAUAUUAUUUUUAUUAAAAAUAUUUUUAAAGUAUUGUUAAAUUUUUAAAAAAUAUUUUAAAAUUUUUAAAAGUAUUUUAAAAUUAAAAAACAUGGAGGGAAAAAAAGAACUCUUUUUUAAUUAUUUUUUAAUUUUAAUAUUAUUUUUAUUAAAAAUAUUUUUAAAGUAUUGUUAAAUUUUUAAAAAAUAUUUUAAAAUUUUUAAAAGGAUUUUAAAAUUAAAAAACAUGGAGGGAAAAAAAGAACUCUUUUUUAAUUAUUUUUUAAUUUUAAUAUUAUUUUUAUUAAUUUUUUAUUAUUUUAAUGUAAAAUUGACUAAAAAUUGACUUCACUCGCACCUCAGGCGAGUGGCUACACUCUCUUUAUGCUAGUCAUCAUUUCAAUGAACAUAGAUAAGGUUAACGGUUCAAGGGUUCAGAUAAUAAAAAUAUAAGUAGAAAUGUCAACUAACAAAAUCAACAUCGUACAAGGAUUCAGAAGAUAUUUUAUCAAUUAAAAAAAAACAAAUCUAAUCUCUACCCUCGCCGCCCCAGCCCUCACCCCAACCCCCAACCCUCACCCCUACCCCUACCCCUACCCCUUCUUCUUCCCCAUUUCUUUUACAACUUAAUCUCCAUUAUUUUAUACUAACUGAUCUGUGUAUCUCCAUUAUUUUAUACUAACUGAUCUGUGUUGUUUUUUACAACGUUUUUCUUUCAUUUGAGCAGAGUGAAAAUCAGCCUCUGUACAUGCCUAACUAGUAGUUGGCUGUUAAUUGUAAAUAGUAGUACCAUUUACUCGUUACUCAGAAUCUGCAAUGUCUUCUUUGGCUGCGCUCAGUUCUAGCCUCUUCAAUGGAGGAGCUUCCACUUGGAAAUAUCAGGUCAACAUUAUUAUACCUCAGUUUUUCAAUCCAGAUUUUGUAUUGUUUUUUUCCUAAAAUUAGUUGGGAAAAAUCCAGGCUUUAUGAAUUUUUAUAUAAUAAUCUUUUCGUUUCGUUUUAGUUGGCCUCUUUCUAAAAAUAUGAGGAGUUUACUAUGUUCUUCUAAUACUAUUUUUAAUAUUAAAUGACUAAACAAAGUAUAUUUACUCAAAUUUAAAUUUUUAAAAUAUAAUUAAUAAGAUUAAUUUAGUAAAAUAAAAUUUCUAAUUAAUAUCUUUUUAGUGGGUGUGUCAAGUCAAUAAAGAUCAACUAAUAUAAAAUAGAGGAAAUAAUUCAACUGAAAAUUAGCUUAGCUUGCUGUUUGUUUUACUGCUUUGUUGGAGGAGAUGAAUGUGUCUAAGGUUGGGAAGCUCAGACUUAGAGUUACUUCAAUGCGGCGGCGGCGUCAUCACCAGCGCAAAUACAAGCUUUGCAGAUAAUAAAGCUAAUAAAUUGGACAAUUGUAGGGUGAGGGUUGUGAAGAAGAUAAUGAAAGGGGUGAAGAAGACAAUGAGGGGUUGCCUUUCUUUUAAAUUAAGAAAUUAGGAUAAUUAAAGAUUAUAUUAAUAAAAUAAUUUAAAUAUAAUUUUUUAAAUUAAAAANNNNN
rnacentral:lncRNA from 1 species